CUGUGUCCUUCGACGCCGGUUCACCGCCUGUCGGUGCCAACUGGCGUUUUGCGGGACGUCCUGUCGGUGGUGCGUCAGGAAUCUUAGUUGUGCUAUGCUUUGCUUAGUGCAGCUCUGGUUUCGGGCCACUUUCAUAAUCCCGCCGCGGUGCUCUUAAUCGAGUGUCGAGGCGGGCCGGCACGUUUACUUUGAACAAAUUAGAGUGCUUCAAGCAGGCUUGUCACGCCUGUAUACUGUGUGCAUGGAAUAAUGGAAUAGGACCUCGGUUCUAUUUUGUUGGUUUCCGGAAUCUGAGGUAAUGAUCAAUGGGGACAGGCGGGGGCAUUCGUAUUGCGACGUUAGAGGUGAAAUUCUUGGAUCGUCGCAAGACGGACCGAAGCGAAAGCAUUUGCCAAGUAUGUUCCCGUCGAUCAAGAACGAAAGUUAGAGGUUCGAAGGCGAUCAGAUACCGCCCUAGUUCUAACCAUAAACAAUGCCUGCCAGCGAUCCGCCGGCGUCCCUCCGAUGACCCGGCGGGCAGCUUCCGGGAAACCAGAGCUUUUGGGUUCCGGGGGAAGUAUGGUUGCAAAGCUGAAACUUAAAGGAAUUGACGGAAGGGCACCACCAGGAGUGGAGCCUGCGGCUUAAUUUGACUCAACACGGGAAAACUCACCAGGCCCGGACACCGGAAGGAUUGACAGAUUGAUAGCUCUUUCUUGAUUCGGUGGGUGGUGGUGCAUGGCCGUUCUUAGUUGGUGGAGCGAUUUGUCUGGUUAAUUCCGAUAACGAACGAGACUCUAGCCUACUAACUAGACGUAUCUGGUAUCAGCAAUCGUGCUACCAGCGAUCAUAUCUCUUCUUAGAGGGACAGGCGGCUUCUAGCCGCACGAGACUGAGCAAUAACAGGUCUGUGAUGCCCUUAGAUGUCCUGGGCCGCACGCGCGCUACACUGAAGGAAUCAGCGUGUCUUCCCUGUCCGAAAGGACCGGGUAACCCGCUGAACCUCCUUCGUGCUUGGGAUUGGGGCUUGCAAUUGUUCCCCAUGAACGAGGAAUUCCCAGUAAGCGCGAGUCAUAAGCUCGCGUUGAUUACGUCCCUGCCCUUUGUACACACCGCCCGUCGCUACUACCGAUUGAAUGAUUUAGUGAGGUCUUCGGACCGGUGCGCGGAGGCGGUUUUCCGCUCCCGAUGUUGUCGGAAAGAUGACCAAACUUGAUCAUU
rnacentral:rRNA from 1 species